rnacentral:rRNA from 2 species
UCCGUAGGGUGAACCUGCGGAAGGAUCAU